UCGACUACAUGAAGCUGGAAUCGCUAGUAAUCGCGAAUCAGAAUGUCGCGGUGAAUACGUUCCCGGGCCUUGUACACACCGCCCGUCACACCAUGGGAGUCGGUAACACCCGAAGUCGGUGGUCUAACCGCAAGGAGGACGCCGCCGAAGGUGGGAUUGAUGACUGGGGUGAAGUCGUAACAAGGUAAC
rnacentral:rRNA from 1 species